UAGGGAAUCUUCGGCAAUGGGGGGAACCCUGACCGAGCAACGCCGCGUGAGUGAAGAAGGUUUUCGGAUCGUAAAGCUCUGUUGUUAAGGAAGAACGAGUGUGAGAAUGGAAAGUUCAUGCUGUGACGGUACUUAACCAGAAAGGGACGGCUAACUACGUGCCAGCAGACGCGGUAAUACGUAGGUCCCGAGCGUUGUCCGGAUUUAUUGGGCGUAAAGCGAGCGCAGGCGGUUAGAAAAGUCUGAAGUGAAAGGCAGUGGCUCAACCAUUGUAGGCUUUGGAAACUGUUUAACUUGAGUGCGGAAGGGGAGAGUGGAAUUCCAUGUGUAUCGGUGAAAUGCGUAGAUAUAUGGAGGAACACCGGUGGCGAAAGCGGCUCUCUGGUCUGUAACUGACGCUGAGGCUCGAAAGCGUGGGGAGCGAACAGG
rnacentral:rRNA from 1 species